rnacentral:rRNA from 1 species
UACGGAGGAUCCAAGCGUUAUCCGGAUUUAUUGGGUUUAAAGGGUGCGUAGGCGGCCUAUUAAGUCAGGGGUGAAAGACGGUAGCUUAACUAUCGCAGUGCCUUUGAUACUGAUGGGCUUGAAUAUACUUGAGGUAGGCGGAAUGUGACAAGUAGCGGUGAAAUGCAUAGAUAUGUCACAGAACACCAAUUGCGAAGGCAGCUUACUAAGGUAUGAUUGACGCUGAGGCACGAAAGCGUGGGGAUCAAACAGG